AAACUUGAGAGUUUGAUCAUGGCUCAGAACGUACGCUGGCGGCACGCCUAACACAUGCAAGUCGAACGAAGUAGCAAUACUUAGUGGCAGACGGGUGAGUAACAUGUAGGUAUCUGCCCUUUGGCCUGGAAUAACACGAGGAAACUUGUGCUAAUACCGGAUAAGUCUUUACGGAGAAAGCUUUAUGCACCAUUGGAUGAGCCUGCACUUGAUUAGUUUGUUGGUGGGGUAAUGGCCUACCAAGACUGUGAUCAAUAGCUGAUUUGAGAGGAUGAUCAGCCACAUUGGGACUGAGACACGGCCCAAACUCCUACGGGAGGCAGCAGUGGGGAAUCUUGCACAAUGGAGGAAACUCUGAUGCAGCGAUGCCGCGUGAGUGAAGAAGGCCUUUGGGUUGUAAAGCUCUUUCGUCGGGGAAGAAAAUGACUGUACCCGAAUAAGAAGGUCCGGCUAACUUCGUGCCAGCAGCCGCGGUAAUACGAAGGGACCUAGCGUAGUUCGGAAUUACUGGGCUUAAAGAGUUCGUAGGUGGUUGAAAAAGUUGGUGGUGAAAUCCCAGAGCUUAACUCUGGAACUGCCAUCAAAACUUUUCAGCUAGAGUAUGAUAGAGGAAAGCAGAAUUUCUAGUGUAGAGGUGAAAUUCGUAGAUAUUAGAAAGAAUACCAAUUGCGAAGGCAGCUUUCUGGAUCAUUACUGACACUGAGGAACGAAAGCAUGGGUAGCGAAGAGGAUUAGAUACCCUCGUAGUCCAUGCCGUAAACGAUGUGUGUUAGACGUUGGAAAUUUAUUUUCAGUGUCGCAGCGAAAGCGAUAAACACACCGCCUGGGGAGUACGACCGCAAGGUUAAAACUCAAAUGAAUUGACGGGGACCCGCACAAGUAGUGGAGCAUGUGGUUUAAUUCGAAGAUACGCGCAGAACCUUACCAACACUUGACAUGUUCGUCGCGACUUUAAGAGAUUAAAGUUUUCGGUUCGGCCGGACGAAACACAGGUGCUGCAUGGCUGUCGUCAGCUCGUGUCGUGAGAUGUUGGGUUAAGUCCCGCAACGAGCGCAACCCUCACUUUUAGUUGCCAUCAUUAAGUUGGGCACUCUGAAAGAACUGCCAGUGAUAAGCUGGAGGAAGGUGGGGAUGACGUCAAGUCCUCAUGGCCCUUACGUGUUGGGCUACACACGUGCUACAAUGGUAUCUACAACAGGAAGCAAGACGGCGACGUUUAGCAAAUCCUUAAAAGAUACCUCAGUUCGGAUUGCACUCUGCAACUCGAGUGCAUGAAGCUGGAAUUACUAGUAAUCGUGGAUCAGCGUGCCACGGUGAAUGCGUUCCCGGGUCUUGUACACACCGCCCGUCACACCAUGGGAGUUGGUUCUACCUUAAGGCAAGGUUUCAAACCCUUGACCACGGUAUAGUCAGCGACUGGGGUGAAGUCGUAACAAGGUAGCCGUAGGGGAACCUGCGGCUGGAUUACCUCCUUU
rnacentral:rRNA from 1 species